GACGAACGCUGGCGGCGUGCUUAACACAUGCAAGUCGAACGGAAAGGCCCUGCUUUUGUGGGGUGCUCGAGUGGCGAACGGGUGAGUAACACGUGAGUAACCUGCCCUUGACUUUGGGAUAACUUCAGGAAACUGGGGCUAAUAUCGGAUAGGAGCUCCUGCUGCAUGGUGGGGGUUGGAAAGUUUCGGCGGUUGGGGAUGGACUCGCGGCUUAUCAGCUUGUUGGUGGGGUAGUGGUUUACCAAGGGUUUGACGGGUAGCCGGCCUGGGAGGGUGACCGGCCACAUUGGGACUGAGAUACGGCCCAGACUCCUACGGGAGGCAGCAGUGGGGAAUAUUGCACAAUGGGCGGAAGCCUGAUGCAGCAACGCCGCGUGCGGGAUGACGGCCUUCGGGUUGUAAACCGCUUUCGCCUGUGACGAAGCGUGAGUGACGGUAAUGGGUAAAGAAGCACCGGCUAACUACGUG
rnacentral:rRNA from 1 species